CCGCACUGGAGUGCAAGUGCCCGAUAGUGUCCAAUCUCGGAAGCUAAGCAGGGCCGUGCCUGGUAAGUACUUAGAUGGGAAACCAACUUGGAAGACCAGGGGCCGGUGAGGU
rnacentral:rRNA from 12 species